ensembl:lncRNA
CUCCGGCCAAAAGAGGCGCGGGCGGGGAGAGAGCGGCCAACUCCGCCAGAGAGAGAAGGAGAGGGAGGGAAAGGAGGGAUGUGCCUCCGCACACACGUUGCCCAGAGCGAAAUGCGCGCUCCUCCCUCAAGUCAAGGAGUUGCCAUACAAAACGCGCCCUGCUCCGCACACGAGGCGCAUCUCUUCUCGCCCCCUCACAAGCCCCAACGCAGGGAGAAAGCAGGCUCGACGGUAUUCCGGGUUUAAAUGUCGAAAUUCAAAAGCGGCUGAGGGGAAGCUGAAACUUUUUUUCCCCUCACGCUCCACGGCGGGAAUGUUGCCCCAAAGCUGCGGCCACAGAAAAAAAGAGAAAGGGGCGGGGAGGCGAGGCGGCGCAGGGUGCCUCCAAGUGGGGCCAAAAGUUUCUCCUCCUCCUCUCCUCUGCCUCUCCUCCUCCUCGUCCUCCUCCUCGGCGCAGCUUCUCCGCAGCCGCCCAGCUCCGCCGCCAGCCGCACAAGGGAAGGAAAAAGAGAGAAACACACGCGGGCGAGUCGGGUGUGCGCGGACGGAGAUUGACAAGCCUCUCCUCCAAUCCAAGGGAGGCGCCGGCCCGGAGUGUGUGGAUCCUAAGAGACUGAACCUGCUUUUAAAGAUUAACAUUAAAGCUAGAAUUUCCCUUAAAUCCUAUUUGUCCAUAUUCCUUUUCUUUGAUGCCAGGAUUCCAAAUCAUAAAGCAGCUUGGCUGAAAUAGCACAAGAACAAGAAAUCUAGGAAGAAGGCCAACAGUAACAUUGAUCAUCGGAAUACUCACCUUCCACAGUCAUUUCCCAGACUGAGCUUUUCAGAUGCUGUGCAAGUGAUUCAUCAAUCUUCUUAUCUUCUGAAUUGCUUGGGCUGGCCAAGGGCAAUACACAAUGUUGGGGGCCACCCUGAAAUCUAGCAACACAUAUUAUUGCCAUUUCCCGGUCUGAUGAAAUGCCAACAUUUAUUUUGUAUUGUGGUGUUUCUUUUUUCAGUUUUCAUGCUUUUAGAAACCCAUACUAUUAAGUGACAAGAACUGUUCUCUUGCCUCUUCCAUGCUAGGAGUGGGCUCCCCCAUCAUGGUGGAGUGGGAUGAACACCUCAGCCAUCUUUAAAAAAGAUAAUGCAGAAGUGGCAGACCCACAUCAUCCUAUGUUCCCAAUUACAAACUCAGCAUGCUUCUUACACUCAACAAUCACACCAAAGCUCUGGACUCUGAUGUAUCAUGGAUCUUUGUGAAACAGCCUCUAUGGCUGGCGGUAGCAAGACUUUUCAUGUACAGCCUUAUGGUGGCAGGUAUCUAAGUCUACACAAGCAAGAAACAGCAGCUGGGAAAAGGGCAAGAUUAUUUUGGCGGCAACAUUGUGAUGGAGAUUAUCACUUGAAGUAGCAAACAGUAAUGGGUAUAUGGAUAUUAUGGACAAAAAAGAAAAGAUUUUGAUCUGCUUCUACUAAACAUGCACCUUGUGGCUUGUCAUAUGAUGAAUGAAUGUAAACCAUGUCCCAGUUUUGAGUGAGUGCAGUGGGCAUGGCCUACUGAAGCAAAUUCACCACACAGUCACCAAAUGUAUGUCCAAAGUAAUGGCCAUCUUUACUUAACUGAUUUAUUUCCCCACUAUUCUCCUGGUAUGGGACUCAGUGUAACAGUGUUGGAACAACAACAUAAUUGUGUAUUACUUGAAUCUUGCCUUUUUUUCAAAAAGGGUAUGCAAGGCCGCUCAAGGGUAAUAAUAAUAAAAUAUGAAGAAAAAUACAAUUAAACCAUUAAAACAGAUUAAAACACAAUUAAAACUAAUCAAUUUUUAAAAAGCACCCAGCCAGUUAAAAACAGCUCAGCAGCAACCCAGUUACAAUUCAAGAAACAACAGAAUAAAAUGGUUUUGCCAGCCUGUCAUACUUUGGCAAGAAGUUACUUGUCAUCGUAGCCUGGCUCUUGCAUGAGAACCAAAACACCUUUCUAAGAAGAGCACAUUUUGUUUGGUAAGAACAUGAAAAUGUUUUCACCUUAAUUAGGUAUCUAAAAGAGAGGUUGAGUGGCCAAUAGUUCUUUAGUUGCAUAUUUCCACAUGGUAGAAAGUUGAACUAGUUGCCUCAGGAUCCUUUCCACUUCUGAUUGAUUCAUUGUCCAUAUCAUUCCUGUGAAUAUCCCUUCUUAGCAUUGUCAUAUUGCUUACUCUUUAGACACACAGAGCUCUAACCAAAUAUGUGUAGCCCUUUCAUUGCACCCCUAGUGGCGCAAUGGGUUAAACCCUUGUGCCGGCAGGACUGCUGACCGAUAGGUCAGCGGUUUGAAUCUGGGGAAAGCGGGUGAGCUCCCUAUGUCAGUUCCAGCUUCCCAUGCAGGGCCAUGAAGGAAGCCUCUCACAGGAUGGUAAAACAUCAGACAUCCGGGCAUCCCUUGGGUAACUUCCUUACAGACGACCAAGUCUCUCACACCAGAAGUGACUUGCAGUUUCUCAAGUCGCACCUGACUUGAAAAAAAAAUGCCAGCAUACCCCAUUGUGAUUGACUGUACCAUGGCAGAUGAAGCCCCAAUAAUUAUGGGGAAGGAGGAUUUGUCAGUUUGGAGAAAAACCACUCUAAAUAUUUGUUUCACAACAGAUACUACUGCUACAAAUAAAUAUAUGUUGCCUUUUAUUGCCUUUGUAUUGUUUGUUUUGCUUGUUUUCGUAUUGUAUUUCAUUCUUCCUGUUUAUUUUAAAUUGUUUGGGAACAUAUACUGAUGACUUACUUUGUAAAUUAAGUAUUUGUUCAGGAAAUCAUCUGAACAUGCAUUUUAAACAUGGCCCCCUCAGCUGUGUGGUUUAUUGUAAUACACAUUCUAGUUGGAGGAAAAGAAACCCAAAUACAACUAUUUGUACCAGAUAAAGCAGACCUGGUAAACUGAUUGCUGAAUGUAAGUUAGCAUUUAUGUAAAUCCCAUUGUUUGAGUGGAUGUAAUCCUCUUGAUAGUAGAGUUGGAUUUAGACCACAAUUGUCUCUUAAAGCACAAAGGGAUGCUCCCGAGUCACAUUUUGACAUGUCUAUAGGGUAGUUGUUAUAUUCCAGGGUAUAUACCUGCAAGUUUCCAUCUCAGUUUUUUGUAUGUUUUAAUGUGCAUCGCUAAACUCCAGCAUUGCAGCCCUUUAAAUUCUGAGUAUCACAGGAAAAUACAAAAGUCACCUUCAAUUUGCUACUUCUAAUAUCUACAUAACAGUUGUGGUCAUAUCAUUCCUCUUUCUUCUCUCAAACUCUUUCUUAUUCUGUCUGUAUCCCUAAAAUUUCAAUCAGGACAGGAAUCUAGAUCCACCAGCUUCUACAAAAACUAGUGAUCUCUGGUCUCUCGAACACUUAAGACCUGCUCUUGCCGUCUGGGGAACUCCACAGAGAAUGGGAGCAGUGGGAGGGGGCAGCCUUGAUUUCACUGGCACUGGGUACAAAGGUAUGUGGUCAAGUCUUGAUUUCUGCUUUUGGACAUGCCUUACCAUUUCUCCCACCAACAGAAAAAGAAAUUGAGUAUCACUUGUGCUUAAUCUGAAUUAGAUUAAAAUGCUUCUACAAGCCAGAUUUGUUUCCUCCUCUCUGUAGUUUCUGGGAAAAAAAUACACAGUAUUGUCAGCAUCAAUAUAUACUAAACCCCAAUGCUAAUUUCUCACAUGCAAAAUGCCUUCUGGUCCAGAUUGUUUGCAUUGGAGGUGGGAUGGGCAGGAAGAAGUCUUCCCUGCCAGUGCAAGGGUUUAACCUACUGCGCCACCGGAGGCUCAGCUCAUGAAUAAUUUUUACCUUCAUGGAUUUCAUGACUCAGAUGUACAGGAUAACCAUAAGCACAAGUCUGAAUUUCAUGUCAGUUAAUACAAUUAAAAUGGAAGCUUCAAGAGGAAAACACACAGUUGUUUGGAAAAAUUAAAUAUUCACUGCACCCAACUUUUAUCCUGUGCAAACAUAUUGUCCUCUUGUAAGGAAACCCUCAUAGUAAAAGAGUAGUCCAUGGAUUGAUUAUAUGCACCUAUAGACAUUGUGUCACAUGUCCUCAGUAACCUCAGUAACCUUAUACAAUAAGGUUACUUUUUCCAUUGCAUCAUCAU